rnacentral:lncRNA from 1 species
UUGUGGUGCAGCGGAAACAAAUCCAACUAGGAACCAUCAGUUGCGGGUUCAAUCCCUGGCAUCGCUCAGUAGGUUAAGGAUCUGGCAUUGCCGUGAGCUGUGGUGUAGGUCGGCAACUGUAGCUCCAAUUCAACCCUUAGCUUGGGAACCUCCAUAUGCCAUGGAUGCAGCCCUAAAAAAAAAAAAAAAAGAAAAAGAAAAAAGAAAAGUAACAGAUGUGCAUAUCUAUUUCAAUGAUUUUUUUUGGCUUCUCAAAAAUUAUCUGGCAAAAGGAGUUCUCACUGUGGCACAAGGGGAUAAAUAGUAUCUCUGCAGCAGCAGGGACAUAGGUUCAAUCCCCAGCUCGGCUUAGUUUAAGGAACCAGCAUUGGCUGCAGCUACAGCUAAGUCACAACUCCAGCUUGGAUCUGAUCCCUGGCCAGGAACUCCAUAUGCUGUGGGCGGCCAAAAGAAAAAAAAAAUUAUCCAGUAAAAUGAAAACAUCAGGCACAUUUCUAGGCAUUCUUUUGUAAUGCUACGUUUUUUGGUUCUCAUAACCACCAUACAAAAUAGGCAAGUAUCAUCAUCCUCAUUUAAUGAAUCAUCAACAUAGAAUAGUAGUUGAGAGUCAAUAACUAUGAGGCAGAUUUAGGAGAAGAGAGACCUGCCUCUUAUGAGCUGUGUGAUCUUAACUAAGUUACUGACCUUCUCUAAGGCCAGAUGACCUUCCCUCAUCCGCAAACUGAUAACAACAUUAUAAAAGUUCCUACCUCAGACAGUUAUUGCUAAGAUUGACUAGGUAAUGCACAUUAUCUUAUAUAAUAACUAACCCAUUAAACACUCAAUCAAUGUUAGUUUAUUAUUGUUGUUGUUGUUGUGCAAAAAGAACUGUGGCAAAUCCCGGAUGCUUUCUACAGCACCACUAGAUUAAGAACCAAGGUCUAUGUUCUACCUACCUUGUCUUCCACAAAACCAAAAAUGUUUUUAGUUAUUUGCAGCUUAAAGAUGAUUUUUUCUUUCACCCCUUUGGCCAACCAAAAUUUAUAAAAUCUACUACUAUCAUGCUCCUCUUCCAAAUAAAAUUCUCAUAAAUACAAAAAUUUCUAAAGUUCUCUAUCUAGAAAAGUAAAUUAUCAAUGGAACAUAAUAAAGUGCCACUAUAGCAUGCAAACAUAAUGAUAUUUACAAGCAAAAUGGAAGUAUCACAUUAAUUGCUAAAUGAACUGGUUUCUCUAACCUACUAUUACUAGAUUAUCUUUUUAAAACUUUAUCUCAUAUCUUCAAAUGGUAAAGAUCAUUAUUUCAUUGUUUGUGAAACCAAGUGAAACAGGAGAGACCUGUUUCAUCUAUCAAAACUAUUGACAAUGUUGACAAGAAACAUAAAAUCCAUGUUAGAAUUUUAAAAAAGAGCACCCCAAUGUUCAUAGCAGCACUGUUUACAACAACCAACACACAGAAGCAACCUAAAUGUCAACUUAUAAAUAUGCAUAUACAUAAUGGAAUAUUACCUAGCCCUAAAAAAGAAUGAAAUAAUGUCAUCUGCAGCAACAUGGAUGGACCUAGAGAUUAUCAUAUUAAGGGAAGUCAGAGAAAGACAAUGUCUUAUACACUUAUAAGCAGAAUCUAAAAAAUGAUACAAAUGUACUUAUUUACAAAACUCAAAUAGUCUCACAGACACAGAAAAAUUUAUGCUUACUGAAAGGGAAAGGGGGGAAGGAUAAAUUGGGAGGUUGGGAUUAGCAGAUACACACUACUAUACAUAAAAUAGCCAAACAACAAAGAUCUACUGUACAGCACAAGGAACCAUGUUCAAUAUUCUGUAAUAAUCCGUAACAGGAAAGAAUCUAAAAAGGAACAGACACAAGGAGUUCCCGUCAUGGCGCAGUGGUUAACAAAUCCAAAUAGGAACCAUGAGGUUGGGGAUUCAAUCCCUGGCCUUGCUCAGUGGGUUAAGGAUCCUGUGUUGCCGUGAGCUGUGGUAGGUCUGGCAUAGACUGGUAGCUACAGCUCUGAUUAGACCCCUAGCCUGGGGACUUCCAUAUGCCGCGGGAGCAGCCCUAGAAAAGGCAAAAAGACCAAAAAAAAGAACAGAUACAGGAGUUCUCAUUAUGGCUCAGAGGGUUAAGAACCUGACAUAGUAGUCUCUGUGAGGAUUGGGUUCAAUCCCUAGCCUUGCUCAGUGGGUUAAGGAUCUGUGUUGCUGCAAGCUGUGGUGUAAAUCUCAGAAGCAGCUGGAUCUGGUGUUACUGUGGCUGUGGUAUAGGCUGGCAGCUGCAGCUCUGAUUUCACCCCUAGCCUAAGAACUUCCAUAUGCUACAAGUGCGGCAGGCAAAAAAAAGAAAAAAAAAAAGAACAGAUGUGUGUGUGUGUGUGUGUAGUGUGUGUAUAUAACUGCACACUUUGCUGUACACCUAAAACUAACACAACUUUUUUAAUCAACUAUACUUCAAUUAAAUAAAAUUAAAUUGUAGCACUGGGAACUAUAUCUAGUCACUUAUGAUGGAGCAUGAUAAUGUGAGAAAAUAGAAUGUAUACAUGUAUAUGUAACAGUCAUCAUGCUGUACAGUAGAAAAAAAAUUGUAUUGGGAAAUAAUUUUUUUAAAGCCUUCAAAAAAUAAAUAAAUAAAAAGAUAUUGGGCUGGAAAUAAAUAAAUAAAUAAAUUGAGGCUUAGGCUCAUUAGUGAAAAUUUAAGCUGCAUAACUCAUACAUAAAAUUUUAUAGGUUCACUAGUAUUGGCAAACAGAUGGUCCUAGGCUUUGAAUAAUAAUAUCAAAUUUCAUUUUUCCCAUUAACUUUAUCAGGAAGCUUAGGCCAGUGUUAAGAGUCAAUUCUAGAAUACUGAGGGGGAAAAACAGAUGGAGAAAAGAAGGGAUUAACUGAAUUGCGAUUUAGUACCAAACUGAUAGACAGUAAUACAUCUUUUCAUAGAAAGAGUAAGACAAAGGCAAGUGAAAACAUUAGUACAAACUUGACCACUAACGGCAGAGCAAAUAUGAGAUAAAGAUUUGAAAUGAAAGAAUACCGUUCAUGAGAGAAGAUCUUUGUGAAAAUAAAAUAAUAAAUGAACCAGGUUUGAUGGCAAAUAGCCACUGAAGCAACAAAAUUACUAUAAAACAAAGAAACCAUACUAUCUGCCAAUAUAAAUUUUUUAUAAUGAUUUUCAUUUUUUCCAUUACAGCUGAUUUACAGUGUUCUGUCAGUUUUCUGCUGCACACCAAGGUGCCCCAGUCACACAUACAUGUAUACAUUCUUUUUUCUCACAGUAUCAUGCUUCAUCACAAGUGACCAGACAUAGUUUCCAGCGCUAUACAGCAGAAUCCCAUUGCUUAGCUAUUCCAAAGGCAAUAGUUUGCAUCUAUUAACCCCAAGUUCCUAGUCCAUCCCACUCCUUCCCCCUCCCUCUUGGCAACCACAAGUCUGUUCUCCAUGUUCAUGAUUUUCUUUUCUGGGGAAAGGUUCAUUUGUGCCCUGUACUAGAUUCCAGAUAUAAGUGAAAUCAUACGGUAUUGGUCUUUCUCUUUCCGUCUUACUUCACUUAGUAUGAGAGUCUCUAGUUUCACCCAUGUUGCUGCAAAUGGCAUUAUUUUGUUCCUUUUUAUAGCUGAGUAGUAUUCCAUUGUGAAAACAGUAUGGAGGUCCCUCAGAAAACUACACAUAGAAUGACCAUAUGACCCAGCAAUCCCACUCUUGGGCAUAUACCCAGACAAAACUUUCCUUGAAAAAGACACAUGCACCCUCAUGUUCACUGCAGCACUAUUCACAAUAGCCAAGAUAUGGAAACAACCUAAAUGUCCAUCGACGGAUGAUUGGAUUAAGAAGAUGUGUAAAGAGAAAGAAACUACUCAAGGAAAAAAACUAAUAACCACUGUAACAACCAUUUGCAUUUAUAUAAUGCUCUUAGCAAGGGAGCUCAAAAUGACAAAUAUAUCUUGAAGCACAGACUACUCUACAUUGUUUACCAAAAACUAGUGUCACUUGUCUCUUAAACCUUCAAAACUGAAAACCACAAGUUUGUAUUUUUUCUAAAAAUAGUGUUUGUUACUUACAUCCCCUGUGGUGCAAGCCUGAUUUUUUAAAGCCCUGCAAUUUUGCCUACGGCAUAAAAUGAGGGCAGAAUAUGGGUGUACAUAUAAAUAUGUAGGGAAAGGUUGAGAAAUUCUUCCCUGGCACAUGAAUGAAUUCUACACUUGCCUUUUAAAAUGUGCUUCUUUCCUGGAAAUUUGGAAUAAAAAAAAA